GAUUUUUUUACCAUUGGCUCAUCUAAGAGAUUCUUUAAUCUCAAAAACUGGUUUUUGUUAACUAUCCUUGAAAUUGAAUGUGAUUCUUUUGGAUUUUCUCCAAGCAUUUUUGGAAUCCCAAGUUUAAUCAACUUUACCAGUUCGUUGACAAAUGUAUUGUCGACGAGGAUAUAAUCAAUCCCAAUACAUGCUUGGCCAGCGCAACUUCCAAAUUUUCCAGAAAGAAUUCUUUUCAUUGCAAUCUUUUUAUCCCAAGAACUUGAGAGUGAAUCAAUGAUAGCAGGGCAUUUUCCCCCCAAUUCAAGGGUCACUGGAGUCAAAUGCUUGGCUGCAGCACCCAUAACAAUUUGAGCCACUUUUGGACUCCCUGUAAAGAAAAUCUUGUCCCAUUUUUGUUGCAACAAUUUGUCACCAACUGUAUAAUCACCUUCAAUGACUUUAAUAGCUUUGUUAUCCAAAUAAUUGGGAAUUAUUUUGGCUAACACUGAUGAAGAUGCUGGAGCCUGAUCUGAAGGUUUCA
rnacentral:misc_RNA from 1 species